rnacentral:rRNA from 1 species
CCUACGGGUGGCUGCAGUGAGGAAUAUUGGUCAAUGGGCGGAAGACUGAACCAGCCAAGUCGCGUGAGGGAUGAAGGUACAAUGGAUCGUAAACCUCUUUUAUCAGGGAAUAAAGUGUGGGACGUGUCCCAUUUUGAAUGUACCUUAUGAAUAAGGAUCGGCUAACUCCGUGCCAGCAGCCGCGGUAAUACGGAGGAUCCGAGCGUUAUCCGGAUUUAUUGGGUUUAAAGGGUGCGUAGGCGGCCUUUUAAGUCAGCGGUGAAAGUCUGUGGCUCAACCAUAGAAUUGCCGUUGAAACUGGGGGGCUUGAGUUGGUUGGAGGCAUGCGGAAUGCGUGGUGUAGCGGUGAAAUGCUUAGAUAUCACGCAGAACCCCGAUUGCGAAGGCAGCCUGCCAGGCCAUGACUGACGCUGAUGCACGAAAGCGUGGGGAUCAAACAGGAUUAGAUACCCGGGUAGUC